AGUGAACGCUGGCGGUAGGCCUAACACAUGCAAGUCGAACGGCAGCACAGUAAGAGCUUGCUCUUACGGGUGGCGAGUGGCGGGCGGGUGAGGUAUACGUCGGACUCUCUUUUUUCGUGGGGGAUAUCGUAGGGACACUUACGCUAAUACCGCAUACGACCUACGGGUGAAAGCAGGAGAUCUUCGGACCUUGCGCGAGUGAAUGAGCAGAUGUCGGAUUAGCUAGUUGGUGGGGUAAAGGCACACCAAGGCGACGAUCCGUAGCUGGUCUGAGAGGAUGAUCAGCCACACUGGAACUGAGACACGGUCCAGACUCCUACGGGAGGCAGCAGUGGGGAAUAUUGGACAAUGGGCGCAAGCCUGAUCCAGCCAUACCGCGUGGGUGAAGAAGGCCUUCGGGUUGUAAAGCCCUUUUGUUGGGAAAGAAAAGCAGAAGGUUAAUACCCCGCUGUUCUGACGGUACCCAAAGAAUAAGCACCGGCUAACUUCGUG
rnacentral:rRNA from 1 species